GGAAUUUUCUGCAAUGGGCGCAAGCCUGACAGAGCAACGCCGCGUGGGGGAUGACGCAUCUCGGUGUGUAAACCCCUUUUCCCUGGGACGAAGCGAAUGACGGUACCAGGGGAAGAAGGACCGGCUAACUACGUGCCAGCAGCCGCGGUAACACGUAGGGUCCGAGCGUUGUCCGGAAUUACUGGGCGUAAAGCGCGCGCAGGCGGUCCAUUCAGUCGCUGGUGAAAGCCCCACGCUCAACGUGGGAAUGGCCAGCGAGACGGGUGGACUGGAGGCAGGGAGAGGUCGGUGGAAUUCCGGGUGUAGUGGUGAAAUGCGUAGAGAUCCGGAGGAACACCAGAGGCGAAGGCGGCCGACUGGACCUGACCUGACGCUGAGGCGCGAAGGCGUGGGGAGCGAA
rnacentral:rRNA from 1 species